GUCUAUGGUCAUGCCACCCUGAACAUGCCCGAUGUCUGAUCUCGGAAGCAAAGCAGGGUCGGACCUGGUUAGUACUUGGAUGAGAGACCACCUAGGAAGACCAGGUGCUAUAGGCA
rnacentral:rRNA from 1 species